rnacentral:misc_RNA from 1 species
UCUCCGUAGGUGAACCUGCGGAGGGAUCAUUACUGAGUGAGGGCCUUCGGGCUCGACCUCCAACCCUUUGUGAACACAACUUGUUGCUUCGGGGGCGACCCUGCCGUUUCGACGGCGAGCGCCCCCGGAGGCCUUCAAACACUGCAUCUUUGCGUCGGAGUUUAAAACAAAUCAAGCAGAACUUUCAACGACGGAGCUCUUGGUUCUGGCAUCGAUGAAGAACGCAGC